rnacentral:rRNA from 1 species
CCUACGGGAGGCAGCAGUGGGGAAUAUUGCGCAAUGGGCGAAAGCCUGAAGCAGCGACGCCGCGUGAGGGAUGAAGGUCUUCGGAACGUAAACCUCUGUCAGCAGGGAAGAAAGGUCACUGUGCUAAUCAGCAGUGAAUUGACGGCACCUGCAAAGGAAGCACCGGCUAACUCCGUGCCAGCAGCCGCGGUAAUACGGAGGGUGCGAGCGUUAAUCGGAAUUACUGGGCGGAAAGCGCUCGUAGGCGGUAUGUCAAGUCAAGGGUGAAAUCCCCGAGCUCAACGUGGGAACUGCCUUUGAAACUGGCAAACUGGAGUGUGGGAGAGGAUAGUGGAAUGCCCGGUGUAGGGGUGAAAUCCGUAGAUAUCUGGAGGAACAUCAGUGGCGAAGGCGACUAUCUGGCACCUAACUGACGCUGAGGCGCGAAAGCGUGGGUAGCAAACAGGAUUAGAUACCCCAGUAGUC